GAGAGCCGACCUACGGAGAAAUCCGUAUGGGCGGUUCGGGAAGGAGAGGUUGGAAACGGCCUUUAAGGUAUCUGAAGAGAUUAAACGCGCCAACCUCUUACUUUCAC
rnacentral:ncRNA from 1 species